UUCUGACAGGUUACUGCGCGUCUCCUAGUACCAACCGUUGGCAUCGAUGCCGGAAUCGUAACAAUAAAUUUCAAGUUUACACGCUUAGCGAAUUGUGCGCUACGUGAGUAUAAGUGUAUUAUUAAGAAGAUUAUAAAGACGUUUUCUUUUGGAGGUAAUUAAUGGGUUAGCCAAAAUUUCAAAUUAAUGAACAUUAUACAAGCGAUGAGAAGAUAUCUCUCAGCUCAGAGCGCGUUUUAGAGGUAGAGAUUAAAAUGAUGGGAAUGGACUGAAUUUUAAUUUAAUUGGAAAAUUAAAGACAAAAAUAUGUUCAUUGCAAAAAUAUCGUAUAUACAGAUCGCGAUAGCUCAAAGAAUAUUGCUUCAAUCAGCCAACAACACUGAAAUUUCUGGGAAUCAGCUGAGAUCGCCACAAAAAGCUUGCAGAGCGCUAUCUAACAUGAACAAUUCCUGGUCCUAAGUAGACGUUACAGGCAUUGUGGUACGCAGUAUUAAAUGUAAUGCUGACAUUUCUAAUAGUUGAUAAUUCGCAUCGACUUGUGUACUUGUAACAGGAUGCUAAAUAUUAUUGUUGAUUGGCAGCCCUAUAUCGGGCCCACCAUCACUAUGACGGUGGAGGGGGCAGAGGAAAUAGGUCGCCGCAGCCGCAUUCCGUGCCGGUUGACAUUCUGAGGGUAACCGAUACUGUGAGCUUUGUCAUGGUUUUAUGAAGCUUUUGAAUUUGAACGUGUUGACGUGACCUUACAAAGCUUAUUUUCUUAGCUCUGUUCUACCGAGACAUUCUAAAAAAUAAAUAUGUUUAACGUUUGCAUUAAGACGUCAAGAACAAAAGUUUGACAAUAAACAGUAUGUAUGCGUGUGUGCGUCAAAUACAUGGUACGGAUAAUAAUAACUGGAAACAAAUGAAGCAGACGCAUCAGACCCUAAUUUAGGAUUCCCUGUAUUAUGGGAACCAGAGAUUAAUAAACAUACUUAUAUACGUUGAAAUAUACACAUAUAUAACCAAUAAACACCCAGACAAAAAGCAAACAAACGUAUUCAUCACACAAUAUUUGCCCAAUGUGGGAAUCGAACCCGCGACCCUCGGCGCAACAGACAGAACCGCUAACUACUGUACCACCGAGUCAAUCAGAUUUGACAAUGAACGCCUUACUAGGCUACAUUAAAAUCUAUUUAAUACCUAGCUACGAUUUUUUUAAAUGAUAUAUUUAAUACACACUUUAAAUAUUAAAACGUGGGAAAGCAUUAAUUCCACGCCGAUAUAAGAAGCGACAUUAAAACACAAAAUAAAAAUGUUGUUACCUUUUCAAAAACGAUUUGCACUACAACACUGGAGCCAAGACCUGUUCCAGCCGCAGCCCGUGACUCACCCGUCAAUGGCUUCGUAGAAAUACCAACUUACGAAAUUAAAGAGGGAUGUAUCAUGAUUGCGGACCGGCAAUAUCAUCAAGAUUCGUUCUGAAUAAAGCGAUUGCAGCAAAUUUAAAAAAAAAAACCAUUGAUAUUAUUAGCUUAUAUUAAAUAUACUGGUUUUGCUUA